UGUAUCAAAAAAUCCCUUAUUAUUGCUCUACAAAACAUGUUUUGUUGAUGUGUGAUUUUCUUCUUUCUUUUCAGAUGUCCCAGUAAUAUAAAUUGGGCUUACACUGACAGUUGGACUUAAUUCUAUCAAACCUGUUCUGGAUUCCUUCUACCAGAUUCCUCAGGGUUCAGAAACUGGCAGGACAGUUAGAUUUUCUCUGUGCCACUGAUGUCAUAACUUGGCUCUGGAGGAACAACUUGCUCUUGGACAAGCCCAGAUCACUGGGGCAUAACAUCCAUAGGACUCGCAGGAAUUCAGCACCGUCUGCUCCAAGAGAAAGGAUGGAUCUGAGAAGAACAUGUUGGAUAACACGGCUCGUCUCAGGAUUGUGCCACUGUAACUGGCAGAUAAAUAGAUUUCCUUUUCACCCCUUUUGAAGUGCUGGUCUGUAAGAGCACCUGGUGGGCAACAGGAUUCCAGCUAAGCUGUUAAUACACUGAAUAGUGCAGGAGUCUGAACGUAGCGAGCUGUGAGCUGAAACACAGCAUAUAUAUAAUUUGUUAUAGAAUUUGGCACUCCCACUUCUUGGACAGAUUCUUCCUCCCUGCACUGGUAGCCCUGGGUGAACAGGAAAACACAGGAUGUGGCUGUGAACCUCGGUGCUUAUAAGAGUGUAUUUUGGAGUGUUUCCUCGCUGCAUUUACUGCCAGGACCUUCAGAGACCAGUCUCAGCUGGGACCCACACCUUUGCCCAAGUACCCUGUUUCAGCCCAGCUGGUCAACACUUUGCACUGUGGAAUUGUAUUACUGGAACUGAAAAAAUCACUUCACUGUGUCGUGGUUUGAACCUUGUUUUCCCCCAGAGGCUAAGAAAAGUGGUAGACCCCAAGGGGUGGAAACCCCUGGAAGUUUUGAAGUUCUGUCCAAUGGGCGCUCCUGCAAAAAUGUCAACAUUCCACAAGCUCACCGGAAAAGAAGAGUUGUAGUUUGGUUGUUGAGGAGAGGUGGCCAUGUUGUGAG
rnacentral:lncRNA from 1 species